CACGUAGGGUGCGAGCGUUGUCCGGAAUUAUUGGGCGUAAAGAGCUCGUAGGCGGUGUGUCGCGUCGGCCGUGAAAACCUGCAGCUUAACUGUGGGCGUGCGGUCGAUACGGGCAUCUCUGGAGUUCGGCAGGGGAGACUGGAAUUCCUGGUGUAGCGGUGAAAUGCGCAGAUAUCAGGAGGAACACCGGUGGCGAAGGCGGGUCUCUGGGCCGAUACUGACGCUGAGGCGCGAAAGCCAGGGGAGCGAACGGG
rnacentral:rRNA from 1 species